GGUAAUUUUUCAAAUAUUGGUGGUUGACUGUUUGGAUGGACCCAGGAUGGACCAUGUGAUGUGAUUGAGUUGUGGUUGUAUGACUUGUAGAUAUAAAAGUGUAUUUUGAGCCCUUUUGCAGGUUGGGUAGGUCCUAGGUAUAAGGAAGACUCUGCCGGAUUUUCAGCACGACUUAGGGUGUCUUUGAUCCUUUUUUAAGCUUGUAUUGAGUCAAUGGUAUUAAAUAAUUGUAAUGAAAUUGUCAGGUGAGUUAGGACAGCCUUCCUCCUCC
rnacentral:misc_RNA from 1 species